UAUGGAAAUGAUAACUUCCCUAUUAACUAUGCUUUCUUUGAUGGAGCAUCACAACCCAUUGUAGACAAAGGUACUGGGAUUCAGUAUACCAAUGUUUUUGAUGCCAACUUCGACACCCUGGUCUCAGCCCUCAAAGCAGUAGGAUUUGGAGAGAUGACCAUUAUAGUUGGGGAGGUGGGUUGGCCUACUGAUGGGGACAAGAGUGCCACUAUAGCUUAUGCUUACAGAUUUUAUAAUGGGCUGUUACCGCGACUCGCUAGCAAUAGAGGCACCCCACUCCGGCCUGAAUUCAUAGAAGUCUACUUGUUUGGUCUUCUUGACGAGGAUGCAAAGAGCAUAGCUCCUGGAAACUUUGAACGCCAUUGGGGAAUCUUUCAGUAUGAUGGCCAACCUAAAUUUGGAUUAGAUUUUACUGGUCAGGGUCAAAACAAGUUGCCUGUGGGUGCGCAGAAUGUGCAGUAUCAACCAUCAAAAUGGUGUAUGUUUAA
rnacentral:misc_RNA from 1 species